rnacentral:rRNA from 1 species
UCCUUCGGGAUUUAGUGGCGGACGGGUGAGUAACGCGUGAGAAUCUGCCUUUAGGACGGGAACAACAACUGGAAACGGUUGCUAAAGCCCGAUGUGCCCUUCGGGGUGAAAUAUUUAUAGCCUGAAGAUGAGCUCGCGUCAGAUUAGCUAGUUGGUGGGGUAAGAGCCUACCAAGGCGACGAUCUGUAACUGGUCUGAGAGGAUGACCAGUCACACUGGGACUGAGACACGGCCCARACUCCUACGGGAGGCAGCAGUGGGGAAUUUUCCGCAAUGGGCGAAAGCCUGACGGAGCAAUACCGCGUGAGGGAGGAAGG